GACGAACGCUGGCGGCGUGCCUAACACAUGCAAGUCGAGCGAGUGGAUCUCCUUCGGGAGUGAAGCUAGCGGCGGACGGGUGAGUAACACGUGGGCAACCUGCCUCAUAGAGGGGAAUAGCCUUUCGAAAGGAAGAUUAAUACCGCAUAAGAUUGUAGCUUCGCAUGAAGUAGCAAUUAAAGGUGCAAUCCGCUAUGAGAUGGGCCCGCGGCGCAUUAGCUAGUUGGUGAGGUAACGGCUCACCAAGGCGACGAUGCGUAGCCGACCUGAGAGGGUGAUCGGCCACAUUGGGACUGAGACACGGCCCAGACUCCUACGGGAGGCAGCAGUGGGGAAUAUUGCACAAUGGGGGAAACCCUGAUGCAGCAACGCCGCGUGAGUGAUGACGGCCUUCGGGUUGUAAAGCUCUGUCUUCAGGGACGAUAAUGACGGUACCUGAGGAGGAGGCCACGGCUAACUACGUGCCAGCAGCCGCCGUAA
rnacentral:rRNA from 1 species